UGGGCACUCUAGCGAGACUGCCGGUGACAAACCGGAGGAAGGUAGGGAUGACGUCAAAUCAUCAUGCCCCUUAUGACCUGGGCUACACACGUGCUACAAUGGGAAGUACAACGAGUAGCUAGACCGCGAGGUCAUGCAAAUCUCUUAAAGCUUCUCUCAGUUCGGAUUGCAGGCUGCAACUCGCCUGGAUGAAGCCGGAAUCGCUAGUAAUCGCGGAUCACACGCCGCGGUGAAUACGUUCCCGGGCCUUGUACACACCGCCCGUCACACCACGAGAGUUUGUAACACCCGAAGUCGGUGAGGUAACCUUUUUGGAGCCCAGCCGGCUAAGGUGGGAAAGAUGAUUGGGGUGAAGUCGUAAUCGAAGUAGCCGAUAAAAGGGCUAGUUCGA
rnacentral:rRNA from 1 species